CCUACGGGAGGCAGCAGUGGGGAAUUUUGGACAAUGGGGGCAACCCUGAUCCAGCCAUGCCGCGUGAGUGAAGAAGGCCUUCGGGUUGUAAAGCUCUUCAGCCGGAACGAAAAGGUUACGGUUAAUAACCGUGACAAAUGAC
rnacentral:rRNA from 1 species